AACGCAAAUUGCACUCUCUGGCAACCCGGGGAGUAUGCCUGUUUGAGGGUCAGUGUUAAUAAAAAUCGGUGCGUCGCAAUUUUUUUGUGAUGUUUCCGGAGUUUGAGUUAUCUUAACUCUUCUGGGUUUUCAAGAGGCUUAAAAUUGACCUUUUUUUGUGCAUUUUAGACGUACAUAAAAUUUUUUUUUAUUCGUCUAUCUUAAUGCCAAAAUCUAUUAGAUGCGACCAUAUCAUGUGGUUUCGUGUCUAUAAAUUUUUCAUGAUUUGACCUCAAAUCAGGUAGGAACACCCGCUGAACUUAA
rnacentral:misc_RNA from 1 species